CCUACGGGAGGCAGCAGUGGGGAAUAUUGGGCAAUGGAGGCAACUCUGACCCAGCAACGCCGCGUGAAUGAUGAAGGUCUUCGGAUUGUAAAGUUCUGUGAUGGGGGAUGAACACAAUGACGGUACCCCAAUAGCAAGCCACGGCUAACUACGUGCCAGCAGCCGCGGUAAUACGUAGGUGGCAAGCGUUAUCCGGAAUGACUGGGCGUAAAGGGGGCGUAGGUGGUUUAGUAAGUUGGCGGUGUAAUUCCGGGGCUCAACCUCGUCGCUACCGCCAAAACUAUUAGACUAGAGUGCAGGAGAGGUAAGUGGAAUUCCUAGUGUAGCGGUGGAAUGCGUAGAUAUUAGGAGGAACAUCAGGGGCGAAGGCGACUUACUGGACUGUAACUGACACUGAGGCACGAAAGCGUGGGGAGCAAACAGGAUUAGAUACCCCUGUAGUC
rnacentral:rRNA from 1 species